rnacentral:rRNA from 1 species
UACGUAGGGCGCAAGCGUUGUCCGGAAUUAUUGGGCGUAAAGAGCUCGUAGGCGGUGUGUCACGUCGUUCGUGAAAACCUGCAGCUUAACUGUGGGCGUGCGGUCGAUACGGGCAUCACUGGAGUUCGGCAGGGGAGACUGGAAUUCCUGGUGUAGCGGUGAAAUGCGCAGAUAUCAGGAGGAACACCAAUGGCGAAGGCAGCUCGCUGGAACGGUACUGACGCUGAGGCGCGAAAGCGUGGGGAGCGAACAGG